GAGAGGGUGCCCGCGGCCGCAGCUGAAGUUGGGCCGAGAGCCGGCGACGGCCCCGCGCCGGGGUCGCAGACCUGCAGGAGUUGAGGGCUGCACCUGCUCGCUGGAGAGGGAGAGGCAGAUUUAGUGGACGCCUGGCAUGGACUCGGACUGGCCUUUGGAAGCUCCCUGUUCUGACGGGGUUGCCUGUCACCACUGCGAACUGAGGCUUGGCAGGACCUGCACCUGAGAAAGGCUAUGUGUGGUCUUGGGGUCCACACAUGCAGAGCUGACUUACUGCCAGAGGGCGACUUACUGUGGGCCACCCUCAGUGAACCAGGGUGUCCUCAGCCGGCCCUACAGAGCACUUCUGUGCUGGGGAUGAGUAGGAACUCUGGGCAAGGAGGGUCCCAGCACCGCCCCUCAGUACAGCCUGGCUCUGCCCUCUGCCUGUACUUAUACCAGGUGGGAUCCCUGCCCUGCAUUCUCUGGGGAUUGGCUGGGCUUAGGCUCACCCUGCUGUGGAGCUGGAUGUUUUCAGGGAGCCCAGCCUUUCCUCAUGUAAGCAUAGUUCACAAGAGAGUUUUCAAAGUACAGUUUAAAACUCAAAAGUAAACUUUUUAGCAACUCAAAGGUUUGCUGAGGGAUCUGAAGCACUCUGGGCACUUUUUGGGGCCAUGGGAUUUGGUUCACCUGAAACAGCCAGUGAGAGGCUGGGCACGGUGGCUCACACCCGUAAUCCCAACACUUGGGGAGGCAGAGGCGGGUGAUCGCUCACUUGAGAUCAGGAGUUUAAGAUCAGCCUGGGCAACAUGGUGAAACCUCGUCUCAAAAAUACAAAAAUUAGCUAGGCAUGGUGGUGGGCACCUGUAAUGCCAGCUACUUGGAAGGCUGAGGCAAGAGAAUCGCUUGAACCUGGGAGGUGGAGGUUGCAGUGAGAUGAGAUUACGCCACUGCAGUCCAGCCUGGGUGACAAGAGAGACUCUGCCUCAAAAAAAUAAAAAAACGAAACACCCAGUGAGGAGGAAGGCUCCUCGCCUUCCCCCUGCCAGAACAUAGCUGGUGCUGGGACACCCUCUUGGUGAGGAAGAAGGCUGGUUAGCUUCAUCAGAGCCAGCAGCAGCAGACCAGGGACGGGCACCUAGGCAGUGGCCUCAGAAGGAACAGGUGUUCCUCAAAAACAGACACAGGAACAGCAUGGCGCAUGCUCUGCCAGCUCCAUGCCUCCUUCCCAUUGUGGGGCUGGGGUAUGUAGGGCAGAGCUCAUGACCCCCGGGAGGACAUGGGGGUGGGCUCUGGAUGGCACCUGGCAUUGCCCCCUGCUGCCCUAUGUGAUGGUGUGGAGGGCUGGUCACAGAGGUACGACCAUCCCUCCAGAAUGUGGGUGGGGGCUGUGGAUGGAGGAGUAGGCCCCUCAGACCCCAGGCCUGCUGCCCAGGCACAACCCAUUUGGCCUAUGCAUUCCAGGCUCCACCCCCUGUGACCCUGGGCUUAGCCCCUUCUGGGGCCACAGCUCAGGCAGGUCCAGGCCCCCAAGGACCUCCCAGGGACAGGCAGCUGUGAGCUGGGCACACAGGAGUGAGGUCAGGUGGGGGUUCCGGCUUGCUGACACCAGUGUUUGGAGCCUCCCGCUGCUGCAUUCCUUGUUCCCCGCCUCAGCCAAGAAAAAACCAAGCUGAGUUGCCUCUGCACCGUAGUGAGCUCCUGGUGGCCCUGGCCUCUGGGGAGCACUGUGGAUGGCUUCCUUGCCCAAGUUCAGGCCUUCUUGUUCCCUUUGUGUGCUCCAGAGAAAGGGGGCAGCACCAGAUCCAGAUCCAGGGCCAACCAAUAGAAAGCUGGGUCCAUCCCAAACUCGCCCACUCUCAAAGCACAAAGACCCCAUGAUGUAGGGCAAGCUUGUCCAACUGUCAGCCCAUGGAACAGCUUUGAAUGCAGCCCAACACAAAUCUAUACAUUUUCUUAAACAUUG
rnacentral:lncRNA from 1 species